UGAGCGUAUUGUCUAAUGGAUAAGACAUUAACCUUCUAAGUUAGUUAUGUAGGUUCGAUUCCUACUACGCUUAG
rnacentral:tRNA from 1 species